rnacentral:rRNA from 1 species
AUUGAACGCUGGCGGCAGGCCUAACACAUGCAAGUCGAACGAGUGGCGGACGGGUGAGUAAUGUCUGGGAACCUGCCCGAUGGAGGGGGAUAACGACUGGAAACGGUAGCUAAUACCGCAUACAAUCGGAUGUGCCCAGAUGGGAUUAGCUAGUAGGGGGGGUAAAGGCUCAGCUAGGCGACGAUCCCUAGCUGGUCUGAGAGGAUGACCAGGCAGACUGGAACUGGGAAACGGUCCAGACUCCUACGGGAGGCAGCAGUUGGGAAUAUUGCACAAUGGGCACAAGCCUGAUGCAGCCCUGCCGCGGGUAUGAAGAAGGGCUUCGGGUUGUAAAGUACUUUCAGCGAGGAGGCGUUACUCGCAGAAGAAGCACCGGCUAACUCCGUGCCAGCCGCCGCGGUAAUAC